rnacentral:rRNA from 1 species
GAUGAACGCUGGCGGCGUGCUUAACACAUGCAAGUCGAACGGUGAAGCAGAGCUUGCUCUGUGGAUCAGUGGCGAACGGGUGAGUAACACGUGAGCAACCUGCCCCUGACUCUGGGAUAAGCGCUGGAAACGGCGUCUAAUACUGGAUAUGGGCUGCGACCGCAUGGUCAGCAGUUGGAAAGAUUUUUCGGUCUGGGAUGGGCUCACGGCCUAUCAGCUUGUUGGUGUGGUAAUGGCUCACCAAGGCGUCGACGGGUAGCCGGCCUGAGAGGGUGACCGGCCACACUGGGACUGAGACACGGCCCAGACUCCUACGGGAGGCAGCAGUGGGGAAUAUUGCACAAUGGGCGAAAGCCUGAUGCAGCAACGCCGCGUGAGGGAUGACGGCCUUCGGGUUGUAAACCUCUUUUAGCAGGGAAGAAGCGAAAGUGACGGUACCUGCAGAAAAAGCGCCGGCUAACUACGUG